GAACUUUUGUACAAUUAGGCGGGAAAAUGACAUGGUAGAGUUAACUGUUGUUGAUGAAAGUGAAGACAUGGUAGAGUUAACUGUUGUUGAUGAAAGUGAAGAUUCAAUGGAUUUCACUGUAGUUGUAGGCUGAAAAAAAUAUCUACAAUGGGACAAGAGCAGUCAGGGGAUAAUUAAGAAGAAAAACGAAGACUUACACACUGUUCAUCGUGAACAUAAACAGCUGUUGCCCCUUCUAUAUGGUGGCAGCACCACUCAAUGUCCCCGUCUUCUAUGCGUACUGUUAUACCAUCUACUUUGAGUGUGGAUGGCUCAAACAAGCGAUCCAUUAUUAGGGUGGACACUUCCUUCCGUGGCUUCUUCAAGAUGUAAUCCUUGAUUCCAGUGUAACGACAGCGUAUGGCGUCUCUCUCGUUCUCACAAUCUUCUCCAAUUCUUUCAGACUUGCGUGCAGGUGACGCAAUAACUUGCACUAUCAAAACGAAGAUGAAGAUGUUCAUUUUAUCAAUUUGUUGUUGUUUGUUUACUGAAAAUUUUCUUACAUGAUAUGGCGCGAAAAUGAAAUGACAUUUGUAUGGGAAAGAGAUUUGACUAAAUACUAAAGAGAUACUUUUCAUAUUGUAAAGGAGAUUUAAAAUGUUUUUUUAGAAUUUUUAGUAUCAGUUAUCUUUCUAUGGUAUAAAUGAAUCAUAUUUUAAUAAUAUCAUUAAUUCUCUUUAUAUUAUUUUCAUGAGUUUGUUAAUUAACAAUAAUUUUGAGUACGUUGUAUUUAAAUGUUGGUAUUAAGUCACUGUUAUGUCUUUAAAACAAAACUCUGAUUGGUUGAAAAUAGAUUAAUUAUGUAGGGGAUAUACUAAAUAAAUAAACGAUGUGUAGGAGAGUGAAAUUAUUCCGGAAUAUUAUAUUUGUGCGUGUUUUAACUAGAAGGAAAAAUACAAUACAUUUCGGUUUAGUAUCAAUUUAAUUAUUGAUUGCUAUUUUUAUAUCCUUUUAAAAAGAAGACUAAAUCAAUCAUAAGUGGUCUGUCGCGCCCCGUUUCUUUCUUCAAUGUCUUUAAUCCAUUUUCUUAAUUUUGGAAUUUCUACAUCUUCCUCAUUGUCAAAAAAAAACAUGCUUUGCUUUUUUUUUUCUGUGCCCCGAGGGAUUCCCGGGAUAUAGAAAUAGGGCCUAGCCUCUCCAAUCUGCUGAGUGGUACGACCCCACCAAAGGGAGAGAACUUUCUGUUGUGAAAAAUAAUAAUUUAAAAUAAACUAAUAUAUAUAUACAAUUUAACCAUUUAAAUACAUCGUCUUUUUUCGUUGGCUACUCUUCUCCGCAGAAGCUACGGGGUAUAUAAAUAUAGUUUCAACAGGACGUGUCAAAUCUUUGAUCACUCCCCAAGUGGUCUGUCGCGCCCCGUUUCUUUCUUCAAUGUCUUUAAUCCAUUUUCUUAAUUUUGGAAUUUCUACAUCUUCCUCAUUGUCAAAAAACAUGCUUUGCUUUUUUUUUUUCUGUGCCCCGAGGGAUUCCCGGGAUAUAGAAAUAGGGCCUAGCCUCUCCAAUCUGCUGAGUGGUACGACCCCACCAAAGGGAGAGAACUUUCUGUUGUGAAAAAUAAUAAUUUAAAAUAAACUAAUAUAUAUAUAUACAAUUUAACCAUUUAAAUACAUCGUCUUUUUUCGUUGGCUACUCUUCUCCGCAGAAGCUACGGGGUAUAUAAAUAUAGUUUCAACAGGACGUGUCAAAUCUUUUAUCACUCCCCAAGUGGUCUGUCGCGCCCCGUUUCUUUCUUCAAUGUCUUUAAUCCAUUUUCUUAAUUUUGGAAUUUCUACAUCUUCCUCAUUGUCAAAAAACAUGCUUUGCUUUUUUUUUUUCUGUGCCCCGAGGGAUUCCCGGGAUAUAGAAAUAGGGCCUAGCCUCUCCAAUCUGCUGAGUGGUACGACCCCAUCAAAGGGAGAGAACUUUCUGUUGUGAAAAAUAAUAAUUUAAAAUAAACUAAUAUAUAUAUACAAUUUAACCAUUUAAAUACAUCGUCUUUUUUCGUUGGCUACUCUUCUCCGCAGAAGCUACGGGGUAUAUAAAUGUAGUUUCAACAGGACGUGUCAAAUCUUUUAUCACUCCCCAAGUGGUCUGUCGCGCCCCGUUUCUUUCUUCAAUGUCUUUAAUCCAUUUUCUUAAUUUUGGAAUUUCUACAUCUUCCUCAUUGUCAAAAAAACAUGCUUUGCUUUUUUUUUUUUCUGUGCCCCGAGGGAUUCCCGGGAUAUAGAAAUAGGGCCUAGCCUCUCCAAUCUGCUGAGUGGUACGACCCCAUCAAAGGGAGAGAAAUUUCUGUUGUGAAAAAUAAUAAUUUAAAAUAAACUAAUAUAUAUAUACAAUUUAACCAUUUAAAUACAUCGUCUUUUUUCGUUGGCUAAUCUUCUCCGCAGAAGCUACGGGGUAUAUAAAUGUAGUUUCAACAGGACGUGUCAAAUCUUUGAUCACUCCCCAAGUGGUCUGUCGCGCCCCGUUUCUUUCUUCAAUGUCUUUAAUCCAUUUUCUUAAUUUUGGAAUUUCUACAUCUUCCUUAUUGCCAGAAACAUGCUUUGUGUAAGUGUUCCCCUAUUCUUGCGUUGUCUUUUUUUUCCCCUCUGGUAUGUAUUUUUAUGUUAUAUGAAUUCAAUGUCAUUCUUUAUUGGUUGCGAUAUUUGUUGUGUUAUGUGCACGUGUAAUUUUUUUGUAUGAAUAAAUUGUGGGACUUUGGCGGGAAAUUUGUGGGUGGGAAAAUUUCCCAAAAUGAUUAUUCAAAUUUUCAUGCUUCAAAACGGACUAAUGGUAUGACAUGAAGCUUUUUGGGGUGGGUGGAGUUAAUUUUUUCUUGACAAGGGGUUGGUUUCAUCGCAUCUUACAGAGAGUACAUAUAUAAAGACUUUCUCAUUUCUAAUUUCUCAUAGAAUAAAAGUCUUUUAUUAAUAAUUAUUAUGGAGAAUAGCUCUAGGUUUGUUUUUCUUCAAAAAAUGAGAAAUGGGAAAAUAGAAUUUUCCCACCGCUUUGGAAAUCAGAAGAAUUUACUGAUGCAGCAGUCAUCAAUAGGGAAAUUUUGGAUAAACGUCUAUGAUAAUAGACCAAAUUUUGGAGGACGGAUUUCGUUUUCUUUCGAAGAAGCUGUACAGUUCGGGGAACUGGUAAGCCAGCUUGAACUCUUAAAAGAAAACUUCAAAGUAAGUUAUUUUUCUUAUUUAAAAACAUUUGUGGUAUAAUUGCCCAAUAGGACAAAAUAAAAAUGUUUUUUUUUUUUGUCAAUGAGACAAAUGGUAUUUGCCAAUGAGACAAAAAAAAGUGGUAUUAGCUCAGGUGUCAAAACAGUCAAUUAAGUUGAAAAUAUGUUUUUAUAAUAUGUAAAUGCUGUCUUAAAGCUAAAAUAAGGGGGUGGGUGGGUUUUAAUAAUGUAUGUUGAUCUUAUUAUAUAACUUAUCAGACUUGAAGUUUGUUCUACCAAACACAUAUUCAUUUUCGAAGAACUAACUUUCGCUUAAGGAACGAAAAAAAUAUAUAAAACUUAUAAAAUAUAUAAAAAAAAUGCAAAAAAAAAAAAAUAAAUAAAAAAAAUAUUUUAGGAGAAUAAAAGUACCAGUGGGCCAAAUUAUCAACCCGAAGCUAGUGGAUCUGUAACCUAUGAUCAAGAACCUUUUGGGUCUGCAACCUAUGCAACCUAUAAGCCAGAAUAUAAUUUACCAUCCUCAAGGGGAUCAGCAGAAAUGCCUCCACCACCUCCACCAUAUACGGCUCCCAAAAAAAGGAGAAUAGAAGAGGUGAACAGUGUAGACCUUUUAGGUCUAUUUAAUGACGUAAAUACUCAAUAAAAAAUCUAUGUACUCUCUGUAAGAUGAAGUUUGUUUGAGGCAUUCCAUUAAAGUUUUUAAAAAAUAAAAAAAAUUUUAUUUCAAAUUACAUAGUAUAUUAUAAAAUAAAACAUAAAACAUAAUUGAUAUAAAGAUUUUGGAUUAAUCAUAUUUUAAAAUGUCCAUAGGCAUAACUCUUAAUAUGAUUAAUCCAAAAUCUUUUCUCAUCAAAAUUAGAUAAACCUUUUUUGACAAUAUGGUUGACAAAGAGUUCAUGAUUUUGACUUUUUAUCAAUUUCAUUGAAUUCAUUGUCGAUGCAUUUUGAAAUAAACAUUCUUUAUAAUUGGCAUGUUUUAACUGUUUUUUGACGGCACAUUUUUUUAUUCCUUUGGCAGUUUUCUUUUCCUGUUCCGUGUUGUCGUCAUCAUAUAUCAAACUGUACAUUUUUGGUCGCAAUCCAAUAAACUCUUUAAUUGGAACGCCUGAAACAAAACGAAAUUCAUCAAGUAUUUAGUUAAAAAUUAGGUUUAAAAUUAGGUUAAAAAGAAAUAGAUUUUUGUAAAAUAAAAAAAAUCUCAAUGGUAUUAUUUUUUUUCUUUGGACUUUGUUUUUUUUAUAUUCAAUAUUUGUUAUUUUUAAGUUUUUGUUAAUCGAUUAAUAAUAAAAUUAGUUACCAUCUA